rnacentral:ncRNA from 15 species
GGUGUGCCCGAGUGGUCUAAGGGGGCGGACUUAAGAUCCGCUGGCGAGAGCCUCACGGGUUCGAACCCCGUCG